rnacentral:tRNA from 1 species
AGCAGUGUGGCUCAGUGGAAAGAGCCUGGGCUUGGGAGCCAGAGGUCAUGGGUUUGAAUCCCAGCUCUGCCA